rnacentral:rRNA from 1 species
UACGAAGGGGGCUAGCGUUGCUCGGAAUCACUGGGCGUAAAGCGCACGUAGGCGGGUUCUUAAGUCAGGGGUGAAAUCCUGGAGCUCAACUCCAGAACUGCCUUUGAUACUGGGAAUCUCGAGUCCGGGAGAGGUGAGUGGAACUGCGAGUGUAGAGGUGAAAUUCGUAGAUAUCCGCAAGAACACCAGUGGCGAAGGCGGCUCACUGGCCCGAUACUGACGCUGAGGCACGAAAGCGUGGGGAGCAAACAGG